AUCCUCAAGCUCCAGCCAGGUUGCAGCGUGUGUGAGGGUGGUAAAUCUUCUGUCCACACCAGUGUUCACAUCUCCCCUUCCCAAGUUUGCCCAGUCCCUAGGUGGUGACCAUCGUCAGCAGUUAGUCCACCUCGCCGUGACCAGGUAACUUUCAAAGUUUCCUUAGCCGAGCUAUACAUGUUUUGUGCUCUACAUCAGAUAGUGAAGCUCAUAUGAUGAUGAACAAAUCUCCUUAAGACAGUCUUGUUGGAUGUUAUAUGAAAAUUGGAGUAACAGCUGCUCAAAUCUAGACUGUCUGGCGGCUGAAACUGAAUUGUAUUCAGUCCACUGUGAACUGAAAUUCAGCACAAGGGUGUCUAGUUUGGAGCCCUAUGGUAAUUAGUGCAAGGCAAAUUGGGUUAGGAAUUCUUUAGCAAACUGAAAGGACAUAUAUAGGAGAACAAAUUCCCUAAAGAGGGUUGGACUUGGUGCUACACAAAAAGAGGAGUUAAAGUGGCUCCAAGUUGUGCUGUCCGACUGGAGAUAUGUAAAUUUAGUUAACUAUUGCUGGCAGUUUGAGUUAGUUUUUACCCAACUUUGGAGCCUUGUGGUAAUUACUCCAAGGGGAAAUGGGUUAGGGAUUCCACAUCCAGAUAAAAGACCACAUCAAGGACAACAAGUUUCAUUCAAAGAAUGGGCUUGCUACUGUAUAAGUUGGCAGUAAAAAGGUGUCCCAAACUUCUCUGCCAGAGUGGGUGCAGUGCUGUUUCAGUUCACUGAAACUGAACUUUUUUGUGAUUUUGCUCUAUUUUGUGGCAUCAUAACUUUUGAUUAGUAUGGUUUCAGUCUGGGGAUGCUAUGCCAAAGUAGUAGAGCUAUGUCUAGAGAAUAACUUGGAGUAAAUGAGUUGUGUUUGUUGUUGAGGGAAUUUGUGAGUUACAAAGCACUGAACAGAGAGAGAGGAAUGGAGCACUAAAAGAUGAAUUCAGAGAACUGAAAAUAGGUUCAAUGAAUUGUGGCUGAUUCUUGG
rnacentral:lncRNA from 7 species